AUUGAACGCUGGCGGAAUGCUUUACACAUGCAAGUCGAACGGUAGAGGGGGCAACCCCUUGAGAGUGGCGAACGGGUGAGUAAUAUAUCGGAACGUGCCCAGUCGUGGGGAUAACGUAGCGAAAGUUGCGCUAAUACCGCAUACGAUCUAAGGAUGAAAGCGGGGGACUCGCAAGAGCCUCGCGCGAUUGGAGCGGCCGAUAUCAGAUUAGGUAGUUGGUGGGGUAAAGGCUCACCAAGCCAACGAUCUGUAGCUGGUCUGAGAGGACGACCAGCCACACUGGAACUGAGACACGGUCCAGACUCCUACGGGAGGCAGCAGUGGGAAUUUUGGACAAUGGACGCAAGUCUGAUCCAGCCAUUCCGCGUGCAGGAUGAAGGCCCUCGGGUUGUAAACUGCUUUUGUACGGAACGAAAAGGUUUCUAUUAAUACUAGGAGCUCAUGACGGUACCGUAAGAAUAAGCACCGGCUAACU
rnacentral:rRNA from 1 species